AAGACGAAGGUCCCAAGCGUUACCCGGAUUCACUGGGCGUAAAGGGCGAGGAGGCGGUCUUUUAAGUCCUUCCUUAAAGUUCUUUGGCCUAACCAAAGAAAGGGGAGGGAUACUAAAAGACUAGAGACUGUCAGGGGUCAGUGGAACGUACGGUGUAGGGGUGAAAUCCAAUGAUAUCGUACGGAACUCCAAAGGCGAAGGCAGCUGACUAGGGCAGUUCUGACGCUGAUCUCGCGAAAGCUAGGGGCGCGAACCGGAUUAGAGACCCGGGUAGUCCUAGCCGUAAACUAUGGAUGCUAGCUCUAGGGAGUUUCGACCCUCUCUGGGGCGAAGCUAACGCGUUAAGCAUCCCGCCUGGGGAGUACGGCCGCAAGGCU
rnacentral:rRNA from 1 species